AUACAGAGGGUGCGAGCGUUGUCCGGAAUCACUGGGCGUAAAGAGCGCGCAGGCGGUCGUACAAGUCGCGUGUGAAAGCCCCCGGCUCAACUGGGGAGGGUCACGCGAUACUGUUCGACUCGAAGGCAGGAGAGGGAAGUGGAAUUCCCGGUGUAGUGGUGAAAUGCGUAGAUAUCGGGAGGAACACCAGUGGCGAAGGCGACCUCCUGGCCUGUUCUUGACGCUGAGGCGCGAAAGCUAGGGUAGCAAACGGG
rnacentral:rRNA from 1 species